CCCCCCCCCCCCAUGGAGCAGAAACGGAUGUCUACACAAGCCUAAGAAGGGAUCUAAGAAGAGAUCUAUUGAGCCUGAGCCAUACCAGAAAGGCUUCCCGCCCAAAAGACGCAACCAUUCCUUUGUUCCGGUCUCAUCUUACCCGGCCACUGUAUCUUAUGAUCCUAACACAGUUGCAGAGCAAGUAACGACGACCGAAGACUUAGAGUCCUUGCAUUUGUUGUCGUCUAAGUGUGAUUUCACACAUAGUACACCAAAGCCCUACCACCCCACGAGUGACUCCAUUGAGAGGGGACAAAAGGACACCCCUUUACAAAAGACAUCUGAUGAGACAAUCCAUGCCGUAGA